rnacentral:rRNA from 1 species
AGCUAAUACCGCAUAACGUCGCAAGACCAAAGAGGGGGACCUUCGGGCCUCUUGCCAUCAAAUGUGCCCAAAUGGGAUUAAAUAGUAGGUGGGGUAACGGCUCACCUAAGCGACAAUCCCUAACUGGUCUGAGAGGAUGACCAACCACACUGGAACUGAGACACGGUCCAGACUCCUACGGGAGGCAACAGUGGGGAAUAUUGCACAAUGGGAACAAGCCUGAUGCAGCCAUGCCGCGAGUAUGAAAAAGGCCUUCGGGUUGUAAAAAACUUUCAACGGAGAGGAAGGCAAUAAGGAUAAUAAACUUGUAAAUUGA